UUUGCUGUUGAAGUGUUUUGUCCUACCCGUAAUUGCGGUGAACCUAUAGCAUCAUCAUCUGCCUCAAUCAAUUGACUCUCGUUGUCUGAUGUAAAUUCUGAUUCUGGCAAUUAAGAUUUUCUAUGAUAUUGUACCGGAUACAUCUAUAAAAUAAUCUGGUCACUGCCUUUUUUAAUUGUCAAUGUGCCUCGACCCCAAUCGUUCUUAGCUUUGGCUUGAUA
rnacentral:lncRNA from 1 species